rnacentral:rRNA from 1 species
CCUACGGGUGGCAGCAGUGGGGAAUAUUGGACAAUGGGGGGAACCCUGAUCCAGCGACGCCGCGUGAGUGAAGAAGUAUUUCGGUAUGUAAAGCUCUAUCAGUAGGGAAGAAAGAAAUGACGGUACCUGACUAAGAAGCCUCGGCUAACUACGUGCCAGCAGCCGCGGUAAUACGUAGGGGGCAAGCGUUAUCCGGAUUUACUGGGUGUAAAGGGAGCGUAGGCGGCGCGGCAAGGUUGAAGUGAAAGGCAGGGGCUUAACCCCUGAACUGCUUUUGAAACUGCCAUGCUAGAGUGCUGGAGAGGUAGGUGGAAUACCUGGUGUAGCGGUGAAAUGCGUAGAUAUUAGGAGGAACACCGGUGGCGAAGGCAGCUUACUGGACAGUAACUGACGUUGAGGCUCGAAAGCGUGGGGAGCAAACAGGAUUAGAUACCCGGGUAGUC